rnacentral:rRNA from 1 species
UACGUAGGGUGCGAGCGUUAAUCGGAAUUACUGGGCGUAAAGCGUGCGUAGACGGUUAUGUAAGUCGGGUGUGAAAGCCCCGGGCUCAACCUGGGAAUUGCAUUCGAGACUGCAUAGCUAGGGUGCGGAAGAGGGAAGCGGAAUUUCCGGUGUAGCGGUGAAAUGCGUAGAUAUCGGGAGGAACACCUGUGGCGAAAGCGGCGCACUGGACCACUUCUGACGCUGAGGCGCGAAAGCUAGGGGAGCAAACAGG